rnacentral:lncRNA from 1 species
GCUCCCCUGUCCUCAGCCUGGGUACCCGAGGUCAGGGUGGAGCAGUCCUGGGAUGCCUAGUUGGGAGGCCUAGCUCAGGGCCUGCAGCCCACCUAGCAGAGGCCAGGAGGGCCACCCGGGCAGCCCCCACCAUUCCUGCGGCAAGGUGUGUGUGCAGUGCCAGCCCAGCUCUUGGUACUUAGUAGGUCCUCAAUAAAUGGGUGUUCCCUCCCUCUUCCAUCAUGGGGGUGUCCGGGGGACAAACCCAAUCUUUCUCUGCCUCAUUUACACUCUGACCCAGGGGGACUCAAGUCUCUCCCUGCACAAGGGAACCACCCACCCCAGCCCCCAAGACCAGCCUCUCCGGAGGCAGGAAUGGCAGGCAUUGCAACAUGUACAUACUGAGUGCUGAGUAUGUGCCCUGUGCCUGUGGUACGAGUCUGGGCAUAAUAGCAGCUCCACCCUCAGGGCAGACAUUUGGGCA